CUCCAAAUAGCUAGCCCAACCACUAAAACCAACAAACCUAUAUAAUCUAACCCCGGAGGUAACACCCGAAACUACUCAAACCAUUUUUCCCCCUUAGUAUGGGAGACAGAAAAGGACGCAGGAGCUAUAACGAAAGUACCGCAAGGGAACGCUGAAAGAGAAGUGAAAAAGCCCAACUAAGACCUACAAAGCAGAGACUAGCCCUCGUACCUUUUGCAUCAUGAUUUAGCAAGUACCCGCAAGCGAAGAGCCCUUAAGUUUGCACCCCCGAAACUAGGCGAGCUACUCCGAGACAGCCUGUGCAGGGCAAACCCGUCUCUGUGGCAAAAGAGUGGGACGAGCUCCGAGUAGAGGUGAUAGACCUACCGAGCCUAGUUAUAGCUGGUUGCCUGGGAGAUGAAUAGUAGUUCAGCCUUUUGUUUGCUCCACCCAACUCCGGGUUUACCCAGACUACAGGUCAACAGCAAGCAAGAGAGAUAUUCGAGGGAGGGACAGCUCUCUCGAACGUAGAUACAACUUUGCUGGCAGGUUAAGGACUAAAUAGGCUAAGGAGAGCACUUAAGUGGGCCCAAAAGCAGCCACCUUAGCGGAAAGCGUUAAAGCUCAAGUGUACAAACCCCCCUCAUUCCAGAAGUCAACUCUUAAGCCCCCUAGUAUACCAGGCCUUUCCAUACCCCUAUGGAAGAGAAACUGCUAAUAUGAGUAACAAGAAAGCUAAGCCUUUCUCCUUGCCCACGUGUAGUCAGAACGGACCCCAACUGAAAGUUAACGCCCCCAAUUAUAGAGGGUAUCGGGUUAUUCUCUUUCGUUGACAGGAUAAGCCCUCGAACAUAAGCGUUGGCCCUACACCGGUGGGCCUAAGGAAAGACAAAAGGGAAAAGAAGGAACUCGGCAAACAUUCAGCCUCGCCUGUUUACCAAAAACAUCGCCUCUUGCACUCAUUGUAUAAGAGGUCCCGCCUGCCCUGUGACAUAAGUUUAACGGCCGCGGUAUUUUGACCGUGCGAAGGUAGCGUAAUCACUUGUCUUUUAAAUGAAGACCUGUAUGAAUGGCAUAACGAGGGCUGAGCUGUCUCCUUUCCCCAGUCAGUGAAGUUGAUCUGCCCGUGCAGAAGCGGGCAUGUUUACGUAAGACGAGAAGACCCUAUGGAGCUUAAGACAACAGGCGGACUGCGUUAAAGAAGCCCCACCAAGGGCUACAAACUCAGCAGGCACCGUCGUGCUGUCUUUGGUUGGGGCGACCACGGGGAAGCACCAAACCCCCGAGAAGAACUGGACGAAACCUCCCAAGGCAAGAGCCACAGCUCUACCCACCAGAACAUCUGACUUAUAAGAUCCGGCAAAGCCGAUCAACGGACCCAGUUACCCUAGGGAUAACAGCGCAAUCCUCUUCUAGAGCCCAUAUCGACAAGGGGGUUUACGACCUCGAUGUUGGAUCAGGACAUCCUAAUGGUGCAGCCGCUAUUAAGGGUUCGUUUGUUCAACGAUUAAAGUCCU
rnacentral:rRNA from 1 species